UAAAUCUCGCCUGAUGCACCGUCACAACAACCUAAACACGUGAGGGCAAGUAAAUUUCUCCUGUACGACGCAACUCACCCCGCCCCGUCUCGAAUUAGGGCUGCUCAUCCCCGAACCAGGUCACCGCGUCGGCUACAUCCGCCGCCACCCUCCUGUGCAUCAAGAACUAGCAGCGGCUACAUCUGCGAUCCACCUCGCCACUGUGGCGACCGCCCUUGCUUCAUCGAUGCCUGAUCGCAGCACAACACAUGUCGUGCAACCCCCUUCGCCACCCCGUUCCCCCGGCAAACCUGACCCGUCACCAUCGCUCCCAAGGUCCCACCUUGUUGGUGUGUCGUGCUGGCCCGGCAAAGAAGUCGUGUGCGUAUCCCAGGCUCUGCUCUGCUGGUAUGUACUCACUCAGUGUAGGGUUUGAUUCAUCUUGAUUCCUCACUUCUCUAGAUGCAAUGCUUGCUUCGUUUAAUACUUUUUAGUGUAUCUAUAUUAUACCCGAUCGCUGAUGGAUCAGUAUAUCAUCUACGAUUUUUUUAUUAUUUCUUAUGUAGAUCAUGAUAAUCUGAUUCCCAAUAUUGGCAGUAAUAUUAGUUAUCGACAUGAUUUCAACUUUCUGUUCUUCCAUCAAAGUACAGAUCUCAUUUCCAAAGGAAUAUGGAUGUGCUUCUUAGUUAUGACAGUAACAUCAUAAUCCUAUGUAGAUGCUUCUAAACGUUUUUUUUUGCUUCCAGAUGACAAAAAUAAUAAUAGAAAUCAAUUUAUAUGUUGGUGAUAAAAAUAUCCAUCCCUUGAUGGCCAAACAUUUUUAGUUUUGUUUCGUUCUAUGCUUCAAUUUGAACCCCCUGUGUAUAGCGUAUCUUGUAUAUAGCACAUUUGCAUACACCAUAACUGGAACUUUAAAAAAGCUCCAACCAUUUUUGUUUGCUUUAGUUCUAUACUUCAAUUCAAACCGUUGUGUACAUCAUAUAUUAUAUGUAUAUUGUAUAUAGCACAUUUUCACCCAACCACAACUGGAACUUAAAACAAAAUAGUGAAACUUGAACUUCAAAUUUGACACUGCAUUUGCUUCUAAUGUUUCUACAUAAAAAUAUCAUUGCUUGUUAAUACAAACACGAUUCGCCACCACACCGGGAGUUCUAUAUGAUUGUUCGAAGCAUUGUAAUUGUAGAGUUCUUCUCCGUCUCUCUUGGAUUUGUUCAUUCGGUUUUGCUAACUCCGUCUCAUAGUUAUGUACUUAUUUGUGGAAGCACAUAGAAGUUAGUAAAAAGCAGCACCACACUUCAGGGUAAUAUGUUAGUGUGUCAAUCACCCCUUCAGGAGAUAUUUUUAUUCUUCGAAGCAUUGUAGUUGUAGAGUUCUUCUCCUUAUCUAUUGGAUUUAUUCAUCAGAUUUGCUAACUUUGUCGCAUGAUUGUGUACGCCGAUCACAGGAAGGACAUAAGAAGUUAGCCUGGGUGAUCGUGCAAGGGACAGGGUCCUCCCAUUUUUUGCUUGCAAUUUGUGUUACCGUGGUAGAUGGUGUGGCGCUUCCUGACCACCACAGAAAAAAAAUUCUAGAUUUCACGAAGACACGUGUUCAUCACUGUGGAAACAUUCCCAAUUUUAUUUGAAAUAAAUAUUUCUUUUCAUGGAAAAAAAUCUAUAUUUGUAUGGAAGCAUUUCUCUAGUCUAUGAAAAUAAUAUCAUGCAUAUUGGUUUGGAAGCAAAAUAUAUCUCUCGAAGCAAGGCAUCAUUUUUAUUGCACUAAAGCAAAUUCUAAUUUCUUUGGAUGCAGAUUCCAAAUUCUAUAGAAGCAAAUGCUCAUUUCGUUCGAUGCCAGUUCCAACUUGUUUUGAAGCAAAUCUCUAUUUAUUGGAUGCAGAUACGAGAUUAUUGAAAAGACAAGUUCAAUUUUAAUUUGUUUGAAAUAGUCCAUUACAUUUGGUUAAAAAUCUUUGCUCGAAGCAUGAAAUAGUAAUGUGAGAAGCAAGGCGUCUGCAUUGUACUUACAAAAUACAAAUAAAUUGUCAUACUGGAUAAAAAUCUCUUCAUAUCCUUGAAACAUAUGUAAUCAUAAGGAAAAGUAACAUUAUAAUUUCUGCCGGAAGCAAUUUUAUGGGCUAUUGGAUUCUAGUAGACGUG
rnacentral:lncRNA from 1 species